GUUUGUUUAUGUCAUUUUGUCAUUUUGCACCUCCUUCUUCAUCUAGUUAGCUGCAUAUGUGCUGUGUCACCUAGAAUUCUGGGAUGCCUUUCUUUGCUCCCCCAUUUCUCUGUACUUUCUUAAUGCACCGUUUCUGCUUAUUCAAAACCAGAGGGCUGUGUGUGCAGAGCUGUUUAUGCCCACGACUGCGUGCAGGAUGCUGGGAAUAGGGUGGAUUCUGCAGCACACAUCAUUGCCCUAAGGAACAUUAGUUGCCGCGCUGAUAAACUGAGAAAGAACAACAUGCCUCAGGGACAAUGCCAGACCCAUUUUAGAAGAGACUCCUUCAAGCACAUCUCCAGAAACAUGAGUCUUUUAAAGAAAACGAUCGUUUUCUUUCCCCCCAAUUUUUACUUUCUUUGGCUUCAUCCUCUUCUCUUAGGCCAUUCCAGGAUCAUUCCUUUCGGGACCUGAACAAGGCAUAUUGAACUAAAAAAAAAUCAGAGCCUAAAAUGAAGGUCUCUGCUGUUGUCAAGUUCAGGAUUAGCUGGAAAAGCUCUGCCUUUCUGGUACUGUCCCCCUAUCAUAAAACGCCAUUUUCCCAAGACAUUCUUGUAAUCCAUCGUUAUUCACCAAUCAGAGAGCCCAGUGGGGUGAUAUUUAAUUCAUGUCUGUCAAUCACGACACAAAGAAAAGGCCUUCAGCUGGCCACCGAGAGAAUCUUCUGCCGAUGGAACAAAGGGUCGGCGGGGAUCUGCGGUCCCAGCCGCGCUGUGUUCAGGGGCAGCUUGUCACAGGGCUGGCCCUUGCAUGGAUUCUGAUUAAUUGUGGCUUUGGAAGCAGCAAGGCAGAUUAAAGACAUUAAGUCGGCAGUGCAUCCCUGUGACAUAGUCAGGAGAAAAUAAGAUUGGGACUUUUGUGUUUCGGCUCUUCAGUCGCAGAUCAGCAUGUCCUUGGCAUCAGACUUCGGCGUCAAAUCCAAAUAUUUGAAUUUGAGAGUACCUCACCCUCUCGGCUGGUGGUUGUAUUAGCUCUGUAAUUUUUAAGCUGACAUAUCGGCAAAACAAAGUGGUCGAGAUAUGAAUCUAGUGUAUGAAAAUGAAAAAAGCUUCACUUCCAGGCCUUGCGUUUCUCUUGGGAUAUAAAUAAUAAAUAAACGAAAUGAAACACUUCCGUGGCAAUUGUGGGUAACACAAACACAGGAUUCGAAGGCAGCAGCUGGACAACAAAGGAGCAGUUCCUCGCGUUCGAGAUUAGCUCACCGAGGUUUUUUGUUUUGUUUUGUUUUUUUCCAAAAACAGUCACUGGGAAGUCCAGCGUGUUUUCCCUCCUCCCUGCCUCUCCUGUCUUAGUAAUGGAAUCAACAUGGUUUUGUGUGUUUGCACGAAGUCUGGGGACUUAAGCUGUUGCUAUUUGGUUCUGCAAAGUCUGAUUCCACCUUUCUUUUGGCUACAAGAAUCCUGACAUAUACAUCUUUUUCUUUCAAAAUACUUUCACGUUAUUUCACUGAGUUUUCCUGAAGGGAAGGGAAGGACUGUUUCACUAGCCCUUUUCACGAAUGGACAAACAGUAAGGGAGGGCGGUAUAGAAAUGAGUGAGGAGUGGCCAUGGGGAACAAAAGAAAGCAAUGGGUGUGGGGAUAGGAAGAGCUGGUUUGGAAUCUCAGCCUUUCUGAUUCCUAGCACUGGGAAUUUGGCAAGACCCUUAACCUCUUUAUCUUCACUUUCCUCUCCUGUUAAGUGGAAAUAGAGUCGUCACUGGUAUCCCUGGGGGACUGGUUCCAGGACCCCGUGGGUACCAAAAUCCACAGAUGCUCAAGGCCCUUACAUAAAAAGGCAUCUAUUUGCAUCUAAACUGCAUAUCCUCCUGUAUGCUUCAAAUCAUCUCUAGAUCGCUUGUAAUACGAUCUAAAUAGUUGUUAUACUGUAUUAUUUAGGAAAUAAUGGCAAGAGGAAAAGUCUGUAGGUAUUCAGUACACAUGCAACCGUCGUAGGCCUUUUGAUUCUAGCUUGUUGAAUCCAUGGGUGCAGAACCGUGGUUACAGAGAGUAGACUAUAAUAUCUUUCUCACAGUAUUCUUUCUACGAAUAAAUCAGAUGACACAGGUAAGAGCUCUUGGCACACAGUAGGUUCUUAGAAAUAGUAGUUUCUUCCUUAAGCCAAGAGCAGGUUGACAGCAGAGAUGGAACUUCUGCCUCCAACCAAGAUGCUCUGGACCUCUGGGCUAGCUCAGUUACUCUGGCAGAGGACUGGCAUUGUUGGCAUUGUUCAAUAAGCUGAAUGCCCAUGGGUUCACUUCUUCGCCCCAGGAGCAACAGCCGCAUCCCUUCUAGAAGUUUCCCUUCUCUCCUUCCUGAUUACAGUCCAGGUAAAAAGGAUGCUCGACUACCCUAAUCUUGUGGGUUGUGUCCUGUGGGCUGGUUUUGGCUGGAAUUCUACAGGUGAAAUGACUGCAGCCUUCUGUCUGCGAGGAGCCUUUGUUAUCUCCACAGUGAGUUUUGGACUCUUACAGUUUUUGAAGAAGAAAAAAAAGGAGGCAAGGACAGUGGCUCUUUGUGUCUCUCAAAGGCAGCACUGUUUCCUCUGGCUGGCACAGCCCAUGGACAACGUGCUGCCCUUCAUGCGAGAUUGUUUUACUGCCUGACACACGGACUGCCCAGUGCCAGCCUUUCAUGCAGGAGAGAAAUGCUGGGUGUCCCCUGCAAUGCAGGACAACUUUCAAACCAGCAAAUGGAGAUCAGCUUCUGCUGGUAACUGUCAAUAAUUCAUCCUCUCCUCUAACGUCCCUGGGAAGCAAGUUUUUGGAGUACUUCCUCUUACCUGACUGAUUUAUGACUCCCAUUGCCUAGCGAUCAACAGUGGUCUCGAGCUUGAAGUGGGUUUUAAGAUCCCUCUCACAUUUCUUUUAUUUAGAUUCAUUUUCAAAAGUUGAAGAUCAAUGAACAGCUUGACUGUUAUAGAUACUUAUCUGUUGAUGAGACCUGAACCACCAAGUGAUUCUGCACCAUUCAUUCAUUGACUUGUUUAACAGGUGUUUGCUGAGGACCAGCUCUGUGCCACCCACUGUGCCUGGUGCAGAGGUAGUGAGAGGAAACACACCUGUCUUCGGGGAGUUUAUAGAUAAGGGACAGUUCGCUAAGAUAAGUAACAAAGGGGCACUGUG
ensembl:lncRNA